ACUUACGGCCAUACCACCCUGAGAACGCCCGAUCUUGUCUGAUCUCGGAAGCUAAGCAUGGUCGGGCCUGGUUAGUACUUGGAUGGGAGACCGCCCGGGAAUACCAGGUGCUGUAAGCU
rnacentral:rRNA from 1 species